UGAUACUAUCUUCAUGUUUGAUAUUUACUUUCAGUGAGACGCAUGUUACUUAUAUUGAAGGUGGAACAAGAAUGUCAAUCCUUACAAAAGACAACAGACAUGGACAUUUAUAUCAAUGCAGAUGUGGAUAUGAAAUGAUUUCUGCAACACA